CAUAUCCAAUGCAAAAAGGGCAAAAAAAGAAAAAAAAAACAACAACAACAAACGAAAAAAAGUCAGUUUUUUAUGAUUAUUAUUUUCUUUUGUGAGAAAAAAGAAAAAAGGAAAAAAAAAAAAAAAAAAAAAAGGUUUUGCAAUAACCUCGGCUGCUGAAACUAGUCGAACGCUUGGCCCUGUGACCAAGAAACCAUGAGGACGACGAGGUGGAAAUUUUAAAAAAGAAAAAAAUUUCUAGUAGCACAAACAGAUCAAUAUGUAUAUAUGGAAGUCCAUUGAAGUGUAUAGUGAUUGGUUGCAAGGCUGAUUCUUUGGGAUGAAGAAGGAUAUUUGUACUUAUCGAAGUAGUCAGAGCCCAGAUGUCUUUACCAAAGGAAUCCAACUGGAAUUUCUUUGUAAGAAAGAUGCAGGAUAAAUCAUAUGGCAACAAGUACAACUGCGUUGUCUCAGGUUUAACUUUCUGUGUCAGUAUAUGAUGAAAUCGCACCUUUCAUUUUUCAUUUUCUUUUUCUUUCUUUAUGUUUUAUAUUCUUUUUGUGUUUGAUCGCAGAUGCUGCUCUGUUAGCAUUUAAAGUAAAUGCUAUCCAUAGCUAUAGGGAGUGUACUGACAUAGUAGAUGGAUUAGCAAAUAGAGAAACUCUUAUACAUGAUGGAAUAUGCUUCUGAUGGAGCGUUAUUUUAUCUAUUAGAUAUCUUUGAUUUUGAAUAGUCCUUUUGUACUAGCUCUUACUUGUAAAAUGGAAGAAACCUUUAUGUAACCGCACACAAAGUGACGUAGUAGAAUAUUUUUGUAGCAUUGGAUUGGAAAAGUUCAUCCUUAGGCCAACUAGCCUGUUAAAUUAUUUUAGCUUAUCGAUGACUCAAAAAAAGCAAAACCACAAAAAAAGAAAAAGAAAAGAACAAGGUAAUGGGAAACUUGCAUCAUUGGAUGGACAUUGCAGAAUAUCAAAUUCUUAUUCCAUUUAGUAUAAAUUUUGUGUUCAAAAUUAUUUGCUUACCUCUGUGUGAGUAAAAUAACUUUCUGAUUCCAGUAGCGUUCAACUGAUUAGUAUUGUUUGUGAUCAUCUUAAAUUAGUAUACUAAUGUAUAAUACAUUUGUUGAUUUUUUUUAUAUGCAAGUUUGGGUAUGUAUAAUUCAUUUGUUGACUUUUUAUAUGCGCAUGUUUGGGUUUGUUGUGACUGUGCAUUAGCUCUUGUGUCUGUGUACAUGCAUACGUAGAAAGACACACAGUGAACCGGUAUCUAAAUAAUUUCUGGCUCCAUGGAAAUAAUUUCACUAUACGUACACAGACACAUACAAGUGUUCUUCAAUAGACAUAGUAACGAGCAUUGAAAAUGUGCAAAAAGUAGUUUUCUUCUUGACAGCUACUCACACGUUGUUGCUUUCAUCAACCCAAGUCCAAAUGAGGGUUUCAUUUUUGUACCCUACAUUGAGGGCUAAACUCUGCAACUACAUCCAUAAAGCUAAAUAACCUUUUUAUUUUUUUAAAAAAAAUUUGCUGAUGAAAAAUUGUCCGUGUUGGAAGUUUUCUUUGGUGAUGGAGUAACUUGCAAUUCAAUUAUAUUGAUGAACUUUUAGUUUACAUAAUCUUUCAAAUUUAAUUGUUAAAACGAAAGGAAAAUGCUUGUGCAUUGUAUCAUAUUUCUGUUAUGUUGGCUAACUAUGGUUUUCUAUAUGGAUACAAUUUUCUUCAAUAUAAACUAAUAAAAAAUGCAAAAGAAACAAACUCUACUCCUUGCAUUAAAAAUUUUCUUUCGUACAAAAUGUUUAGAUUUAAACGUAGGAUUUACUAUUUGAUUAAUGCUCUUUGUAUAUGCUUGUUUCAUUGCUCUUUUUGUACCAUGCCAUAUUCCUGGAAAUAGCAGAGCCACUAAUGCAUCUCUGAAUACUUGUCAAUUUAAAAUUUAAUAUCUACCUGAACCGCCCAUACCAACUAUGGACAUAAUGCGUAGUUGAUCUACCUUCUUAACUCAAUUGCGUCUUCAAAGCCAUUGUGCUUGCCUCGGAGCUUAUCACAUCAUCUUUUCGGUUGGUGAUGUAGCCAUUAAUCCCCUUUCCAUCAAAAACAUAAAUUUGCAUGAUAUAGGUGACUUUGAGCGUUGUUGCAGUUCUUGAACCAAGAAUUUGAGAGAAGACUAAGAAAACUCUAAGAAUCCUAAGAGAAAAAAAGAGAAACUUUGAGAGAAAAUGAGAGAAUUUGAGAGAAAAUUCUUCUGUUGUACUAAUUUCUGUAAAAUUGCUUACAUUACAAGCUUCUUAACUAACUAUUUAUACAAAUCUGUUAUAACUGCUUUAUACAAGAAAACAAGAAAUACGUGUAAGUAAUAUAAACAACAAGCUGUUGAGCUGAGCUGGCAACUUCUUCAGUUAAGCUGAGCUGUCAUCUUCUCCAUAGCUUCCACACGUGUAUGUAAUGUAUAAACAGCAUGUUGUUGAGCUGUGCUGGCAAGCUCUUUAGUUGAGCUGAGCUGUCAUCAUCUCCAUAGCUUCAACAAGCCUUGCCCGAAUAGACAUGAUUUGGUCUUGGAUUCCAUUGAGAUAAUAAGAAAUUUGAUGCAUCUAGCAUGGAGAGGAAGUAACUUUGACAAUGAAGGUGUCGAUAACAUCCUCCACAUCAGAAUUAAGCUACAUCUCUGACUUGUCUUCCCAAGUCUCGGAGACGAUGCAUCCUGUUCUUGCUUGCUCUCUGCAUCUUUCAAGAAGCCGGAAAUGCGCUGCAGUUCAUCUUGCAACAGAACCACAUCCUCCUCCACAUUUUUCAACGGAGCUGCUUCAUGGAUGAGAAUGUAGGAGAGUCUUUGGAUUGCUAGGUAUACGAUGGACGUGCCAUUGUUGUGAAAAGUACUAAUUAACUUGGAGUUCAGUUAGAUGUGCCUGUGGAAGACAAUACUGAACACCACAUUGUACAUAUAAAUACACAUACAUAUAGAAUCACCAUUCACCAAACCAUUAGAAAUUCAUAUCCCACAUCGUCCAAGAAAAUAAAAAAUCCUCCAUCCCACUACUAUGUACAAGGAUUUGUAUAAGUCAACCCGACAUUGCAACGUGCGAGAAAUUAUUAAGAAAGGCCUCGCAGCAGUUUCGGACAUUCUUAGUGGAAUAAAUGCCCAUUAAGCUGGUUCCUUCGAA